rnacentral:misc_RNA from 1 species
UAUAAGCCCUAUAUAAAAUCUGGACCACAAUUCUUAGUUUCUUAAUUCUUUAAGCUUUGUUUUUCUUAAUUUCGUUGUUGUCCAUGUCUCAAUGGGUCAUGGUAGAUUUGGUUGAGGACCUGUAAACUUCCAUCUGAAUGAAAUAUAAACCUCAUCCUUUCCAUCUAGUCCAUUUUAUCCCUUAAUAGUGUCCUUGUUAUUUGAAAUGUGAAAUUUGUUUAGAAGUUAAUUUAAUAAUUAAUGAACUAACAUAACACAUAACACAUGGAAAAGCAUGCCCAUUUGUGUUUCUGUGAAUUUUUUUGUCCAACAGUUAGUCGGGCAGCAAGACUAUGCACUUUCACAUAUGUGUGUGGGUUGUGCAUUAGUGGGUAACAUGCAUACAUUGAUAGAUAGUGCGCAUAUGUCUGUUUUUUGAUACCCCAUUUCUCACAUGCAUUCUGUAAAUAUACUGGUCAUGGUGUUCUGUCCCUCUGGAAGCUCAUGCCUAGACAGUGUCCUGCUAGUUUUUAGGCUAGAUAUUGACAAUAAUGUGUAUAUGCCAGUUAUUAUGCUUGCUGUUAAUUGUAAUUACUUUCAACUGAUUUGAGCUACUCAUUGUUGUGUG